rnacentral:rRNA from 1 species
GUAAUGCCGGAUGCUCCAGUUGAUCGCAUGGUCUUCUGGGAAAGCUUUCGCGGUAUGGGAUGGGGUCGCGUCCUAUCAGCUUGACGGCGGGGUAACGGCCCACCGUGGCUUCGACGGGUAGCCGGCCUGAGAGGGCGACCGGCCACAUUGGGACUGAGAUACGGCCCAGACUCCUACGGGAGGCAGCAGUGGGGAAUAUUGCACAAUGGGCGCAAGCCUGAUGCAGCGACGCCGCGUGAGGGAUGGAGGCCUUCGGGUUGUAAACCUCUUUUAUCGGGGAGCAAGCGAGAGUGAGUUUACCCGUUGAAUAAGCACCGGCUAACUACGUGCCAGCAGCCGCGGUAAUACGUAGGGUGCAAGCGUUAUCCGGAAUUAUUGGGCGUAAAGGGCUCGUAGGCGGUUCGUCGCGUCCGGUGUGAAAGUCCAUCGCUUAACGGUGGAUCCGCGCCGGGUACGGGCGGGCUUGAGUGCGGUAGGGGAGACUGGAAUUCCCGGUGUAACGGUGGAAUGUGUAGAUAUCGGG